rnacentral:rRNA from 1 species
AGAUAUCAAUCCGGGCUCAAGAUAAACUUUGGUAGUAUGCUUAACACAUGCAAGCAAAUGGAAAGUGGUGUUUCUAGUGGUGGACCGAUGAGUAACCAGUAAGAACCUGCCAUUAGGAAGGAACAACAGGUGGAAAUGGCUAUUAAUACCCCAAAGGCUGAAGAACAAAAAGAGAAAUGCUCUCGAAUAAGAAUCCAUUAGGGGAGCGUGUGUAUGAUUAGUUAGCUUGUGAGGGGAUAGCUUACCAAGGCGAUAAUCAGUAACUGGUUUGAGAAGAUGACCAACCACAUUGGGAUUGAGACACAAUAUAAGCUCUUACAAAAAGCAGCAGUAGGGAAUUUUUCACAACUAGUGAAACACUAAUGGAGCAAUGCCCCAUGGAGGUUUAGCAGCAAUGAUGGUAUAUGGAGAAUAAGCAUUGGCUAACUCUAUGCUAGCAGCCGUGGUAAGGCAAAAGAUGCAAGCAUUAUCCAGAAUGAUUGAGUAUAAAGCAUCUAUAAGUGGUUUUUUAACUCCACUGUCAAAUCCCAGGAUUCAACCCUAGACAAGCAAUGGAAGCUACCAAACUGGAUUAUGGUCAAAGAUCUAAAAAAACACCAAUAACAAAAACACUCUGUUGGGCUGACAUUGAUACUAAGGGAUGAAAGCUAGAAGAAGGAAGAGAUUAGAUACCUUAAUAGUCCUAGCCAUAAAGGAUGGAUAAUAGGUGUUAUGCGUAUCGACCCAUGCAAUGCUACAUCUAAUACAAUAAUUAUCUCACCCAAGAAGUAUGUUCACAAGAAUGAAACUCAAAGGAAUUGGUAGGGGCCUGUACAAAUGGUGGAGCAUGUCAUUUAAUUUGACCUCAAAACAAAGAACCUUACCAGGCUUUACAUAUUGCGAAUCCUCUUAAAAGAUAAAGGUGCCUUUGGGAAUGCGAACACAUGUAGUGCAUGGCUAUCGUUAGCUCAUACCAUAAAGUUGGGUUAAGUCCUGCCACGAGCUCGGCCCUUGUGUGUGGUUGCCAUCAUUGAAUUUGAAACCCUAAACAAACUACUGUUGAUAAGCUAAAAAAAGGUGAGGAUUACGUUAAGUCAUCUUGCCUCUUAUGUUUUGAGCGACACGUGCUGUAAUGGUCGAGACAAAAGGUAGUGAUCUUACGAGGGUAAGCUAACCCUAAACACCCAUCCUCAAUUCAGAUCGCAGGCUAUAACUUGCUAGUAACUACCGUUCAACCAUACGAUAGUGAAUUCGUUCUCUAGUCUUGUACAGACUACCCUUCACACUGUGGGAGCUGGCCAUGCCCAAAGUCAUUACCUUAAGCACAAAGAGAGGCGUGUCGAAGGUAUGGCUAGUGAAUAGAGUGAAGUCAAAAUAAGGUAGCUGAAAGAAAAGGUUAGGCUA